GUGGACAGCGCUAUUUCUUUCAUGUUCUAUAGCUCAUACAUUAUUUUUUGGGUCAUCAAGCUCAUACAUCCUUCACAAUUGAUACCAGUUCUUAUUCAUUUUGUAGGAGGUGCUUGGAGCUGGUGGAGCGGUUGUUAUGUUUAGAGGGCACCAAGGCAGUACAAGUGUAGUGAAGUUUCAGUCCCUAUUCCAUGAGUUUUGGGGUGGUUUCGGGGCUCAAACAGAGUGAUGCUCUGCCCAUUUAAUUUGCUUCCCAUUGGACUUUCAAGGCCAGUCUUUCUCGUGCAGUGUUAGGGAACUCGAAAAGGCGGUGAAAGAGAUUGAAGCUAUUCAAAUGAAUCAAAGGCCAAGAAAAAUGAUCAAUUUGUUGUAAUUUGGAAUAUCAAGUUGUAAUUUGUUGGAAUUAGUUGUAGUAUCAAGUUUUAGUUUUGAGAAACCUAACUUUGUAUGUAAUUGAUAAUUGUGAUGAGAAUGGCCCGGCAUGGGUUUUAAAUUUAUUGGAUUGUGAAUGUUUAUAUACAAUAUCUAUUUCAGUUU